CCCCAAUCCGUUUUCUUUUGAAAAAUUAGCCCAAACUUCAUAUCCAUUUACCUGAUGAACGAAUUGAUAUGUCAGGCAGUACCUGGACAAUCAGGGCCCAGCUCUGUCAUGGAAACACAGUAAGAAGUGAUUGCCUAGGGCAAAAAUCCCACCACCCAACCAACCGAUGUUCCCUGGCCAUGUGAUGCCUGUGGGCUGGUGACGGCAGAGGUUUUGUCCCUUUGCCCCAGUGAGCAGGACACCUAGGAGCAGCUGUCUGAACGGGUGAAGAAGCACUAAGGCAAGCAGCGAGCUUGACAACCUGUAGAGGAUCUCUGCAGAAUAUAAAAGAUACCUUGGUAUAAUACAUGGUAACGUGGUUGUGGUGUGGUGCUGCUGCCACGUCAACACUAGGAAAGACCAUUCUUCAGUUACAGAUGUGUUUUGUAGCCAUUUUACUGUAGUAGUUUUCCCCUAUAUUUUUGCUGCAUUGUUCAUGUAUGUAUUGAAGCCAUUUUCAGGGGUGGCGAAUGAUAAACCGACGUUAUGCCCUUAGAGUUUUGUUUUGUUUCAUUUCGGGGGAAGUUUCUUAAGCCAUAGGUUUUGGAAUAAAGAACAUUUCUCAGUACUAGAUGGAAUGGGUUGCUCAGCUUUUUUAAUUGAUUCUAUUUAAUCCACUCUCCAUUGUUUCCUGAGCAGCUAAGUUAGUCACCUGAAAUUGCUUUUCUCUUAAACACAACGUUAGCAUUUUAAACCAGGUAUGUUAAGAAUUGACUUUUUGCUAACUGGUAGUAUUUAAAAUGUAUCAUCUGAAAGUACCUGCUGGAAAGAAUAAAGGGAAAAAAAAAACAAAAACACGUCGUUAUUAGCAAUAUGUUUGGAGCAGUGUUUGCAUCUGCUUUGUACAGUAAUGGAGCGUUAAAGUGGAUGGUUGACAUGUUGGAGCUUAGAGAAGCGUUCGGUUUCUAAGCAGAACUUAGAUGAGAAAACACAAUUUUUACCCAUCACCCAAAUGUUGGACAUACGAGACAGUUUUAAAUCUAUG
rnacentral:lncRNA from 1 species